UACAGAGGUCCCAAGCGUUGUUCGGAAUUACUGGGCGUAAAGGGCCAGUAGGCGGCCAACUAAGUCCGACGUGAAAUCCCAAGGCUUAACCUUGGAACUGCGUCGGAUACUGGAUGGCUUGAAUUCGGGAGAGGGAUGCAGAAUUCCAGGUGUAGCGGUGAAAUGCGUAGAUAUCUGGAGGAAUACCGGUGGCGAAGGCGGCAUCCUGGACCGACAUUGACGCUGAACGGCGAAAGCUAGGGGAGCAAACGGG
rnacentral:rRNA from 1 species